rnacentral:rRNA from 1 species
AUUGAACGCUGGCGGAAUGCUUUACACAUGCAAGUCGAACGGCAGCACGGGAGCUUGCUCCAGGUGGCGAGUGGCGAACGGGUGAGUAAUACAUCGGAACGUACCCUGACGUGGGGGAUAACACAUCGAAAGAUGUGCUAAUACCGCAUACGACCUGAGGGUGAAAGGGGGGGAUCGCAAGACCUCUCGCGUUUGGAGCGGCCGAUGUCGGAUUAGCUAGUUGGUGAGGUAAAGGCUCACCAAGGCGACGAUCCGUAGCUGGUCUGAGAGGAUGAUCAGCCACACUGGGACUGAGACACGGCCCAGACUCCUACGGGAGGCAGCAGUGGGGAAUUUUGGACAAUGGGGGCAACCCUGAUCCAGCCAUUCCGCGUGAGUGAAGAAGGCCUUCGGGUUGUAAAGCUCUUUCGGCAGGAACGAAGAGGUGGCUACUAAUACUGGCUGCUCAUGACGGUACCUGAAGAAGAAGCACCGGCUAACUACGUGCCAGCAGCCGCAGUAAAAC